UACGUAGGGUGCGAGCGUUAAUCGGAAUUACUGGGCGUAAAGCGUGCGUAGGCGGUUCGUUAAGUUCGUUGUGAAAGCCCCGGGCUCAACCUGGGAACUGCAAUGGAAACUGGCGGGCUUGAGUGUGGCAGAGGGGGGUGGAAUUCCGCGUGUAGCAGUGAAAUGCGUAGAGAUGCGGAGGAACACCAAUGGCGAAGGCAGCUCGCUGGGACGGUACUGACGCUGAGGCGCGAAAGCGUGGGGAGCAAACAGG
rnacentral:rRNA from 1 species